UUGAUGGAGAGUUUGAUCCUGGCUCAGGACGAACGCUGGCGGCGUGCUUAACACAUGCAAGUCGAACGGAAUCCAAUGUGUAGCAAUACACAGGAAGAUUUAGUGGCGAACGGGUGAGGAACACGUGAGAAACCUGCCCCGAACUCUGGGAUAACAGUUGGAAACGACUGCUAAUACCGGAUGCCGUCGAGGAGUCGCAUGGCUCUUUGACGAAAGAAUCUUGGUUCGGGAGGGUCUCGCGACCUAUCAGCUUGUUGGCGGGGUAAUGGCCCACCAAGGCUACGACGGGUAGCUGGUCUGAGAGG
rnacentral:rRNA from 1 species